CUUCUACUCCCUCCGUCCGAAAAUACUUGUCCUAAAAUGAAUGUAUCUAUAACUAAAAUAAGUCUAGAUACAUGCAUUUUUAGGGCAAGUAUUUCCGGACGGAGGGAGUACUCU
rnacentral:pre_miRNA from 1 species